rnacentral:rRNA from 1 species
CCUACGGGUGGCAGCAGUGAGGAAUAUUGGUCAAUGGGCGGAAGCCUGAACCAGCCAAGUCGCGUGAGGGAUUAAGGCCCUGCGGGUCGUAAACCUCUUUUGCCGGGGAGCAGAGGUCCGGACGUGUCCGGGCCGGGAGAGUACCCGGAGAAAAAGCAUCGGCUAACUCCGUGCCAGCAGCCGCGGUAAUACGGAGGAUGCGAGCGUUAUCCGGAUUUAUUGGGUUUAAAGGGUGCGUAGGCGGAAUAUCAAGUCAGCGGUAAAAAUUCGGGGCUCAACCCCGUCGUGCCGUUGAAACUGAUGUUCUUGAGUGGGCGAGAAGUAUGCGGAAUGCGUGGUGUAGCGGUGAAAUGCAUAGAUAUCACGCAGAACUCCGAUUGCGAAGGCAGCAUACCGGCGCCCAACUGACGCUGAAGCACGAAAGCGUGGGUAUCGAACAGGAUUAGAUACCCUUGUAGUC